rnacentral:lncRNA from 1 species
UAAUGAAUUUAUUCAAAAAUGAAAUAUUUUUUGUUUUUUCAUCAGGUGAAACACUGAGUUAAACUUCUUGAAUGACUUUUCAAAUAAAUAUAAACUUGGACCAAUGCUGCAAUGUUCAAUAUUGCCCUGUAUUCUAAAUAAAUUCUCUUUGACCCACAUAAAAAGUAAGAUGCAGAAAUCUAUAAAAAUGUAAUACAAUAUUCACAAUAUAUAAAAGAAUAAUAUAAUAUUCAUAUCAAAAUUAUUUUGACCUUAUAUCUAAGUGGUUUUAUCUGAGGUUGGUUCAGUAUUUUUCACAUUAUAAACAUGGUAAGUUGCAUAUAAUCAUAGAAAAUCACUGGUGAUCAGCUAAUUAUUAUUAAUAUAAGCAAAAUCCUUUAAAAAGUAUUCAUUAAUGUACUGACAAUUGAUCCAUGUAAUUUAUUACAGAGGUAUGAGAUGAUUCUGAAGGCUAUUCAAAAAUAUCACAUCUAUACUAAUUUAAUAGUGUGUACAAUUUUUCUCCAGGAAUUUUUAUACCAUGCUAAGCUGUUAUGAUUUUAAUUGUUAAUAAAUGGGAAUUAAAAAAAUAGUUGAUGUAAAAAAAGGUGAUACAGGCUUUCCUUUUAAAUGUAAUUUUCAACAGGAAAAUCAGCAUUGCCACCUUCAAAUUUUAGACAAAGAAUUGUGUUUUGUAUGGUGUGCAUGUAGGGGUAUUAUAUUAUAUUUAAGUAUUUUAUGUAAAUUAUGUGAGUAUAUUUUUAAAACAAUUCAUAUUUUAGGUGCUGCACCAUAUUUUCACUACUUAAGAGUUUAGGUACAUUUGCUUUUGCAAUGCUGAACCCUUUGAUCAGAAAUUAAAAGUGUAAGUGGUAUGAUAAAACAACAUUUUAUGAUAAUUUACUAUGUACCACUGUUAAAGUAAUGCAAUAAAAGAG